rfam:Camelus ferus unplaced genomic scaffold scaffold919, whole genome shotgun sequence.
GGAGGGGACAGCUCAGUGGUAGAGCACGUGCUUAGCAUGCAUGAGGUCCUGGGUUCAAUCCCUAGAACCUCCA